UGCGUAGGCGGAUUAAUAAGUCAGUGGUGAAAUCUUUCGGCUCAACCGAGAAACUGCCAUUGAUACUGUUAAUCUUGAGUUCGGUUGAGGUAGGCGGAAUGUGUAAUGUGGCGGUGAAAUGCUUAGAUAUUACACAGAACACCAAUUGCGUAGGCAGCUUACUAGACCGACACUGACGCUGAGGCACGAAAGCGUGGGGAGCGAACAGGAUUAGAUACCCUGGUAGUCC
rnacentral:rRNA from 1 species